rnacentral:rRNA from 1 species
CCUACGGGAGGCAGCAGUAGGGAAUCUUCCGCAAUGGACGAAAGUCUGACGGAGCAACGCCGCGUGAGCGAUGAAGGCCUUCGGGUCGUAAAGCUCUGUUGUUAGGGAAGAAUAAGUGCUAGUUGAAUAAGCUGGCACCUUGACGGUACCUAACCAGAAAGCCACGGCUAACUACGUGCCAGCAGCCGCGGUAAUACGUAGGUGGCAAGCGUUGUCCGGAAUUAUUGGGCGUAAAGCGCGCGCAGGCGGUUUCUUAAGUCUGAUGUGAAAGCCCCCGGCUCAACCGGGGAGGGUCAUUGGAAACUGGGAAACUUGAGUGCAGAAGAGGAAAGUGGAAUUCCAAGUGUAGCGGUGAAAUGCGUAGAGAUUUGGAGGAACACCAGUGGCGAAGGCGACUUUCUGGUCUGUAACUGACGCUGAGGCGCGAAAGCGUGGGGAGCAAACAGGAUUAGAUACCCUGGUAGUCCACGCUGUAAACGAUGAGUGCUAAGUGUUAGAGGGUUUCCGCCCUUUAGUGCUGAAGUUAACGCAUUAAGCACUCCGCCUGGGGAGUACGGUCGCAAGACUGAAACUCAAAGGAAUUGACGGGGGCCCGGCUUUUACAAGUGGUGGAGCAUGUGGUUUAAUUCGAAGCAACGCGAAGAACCUUAC